AAACAAUAUGACUGUCUCAAGAUUAAGCCAUGCAUGUCUUAGUACAGACUAUCUCACAGUGAAACUGCGAAUGGCUCAUUAAAUCAGCUAAGGUUCCUUAGAUCGUACAAUCCUACUUGGAUAACUGUAGUAAUUCUAGAGCUAAUACAUGCAACAAGCUCCGACCUUCCCUGGGAAGAGCGCUUUUAUUAGAUCAAAACCAAUCGGUUCCUUCGGGUUCCGUCCAAUUGGUGACUCUGGAUAACUUUGUGCUGAUCGCAUGGCCACGAGCCGGCGACGUAUCUUUCAAAUGUCUGCCCUAUCAACUUUCGAUGGUACCUGAUAUGGCUACCAUGGUUGUAACGGGUAACGGGGAAUCAGGGUUCGACUCCGGAGAGGGAGCCUGAGAAACGGCUACCACUUCUAAGGAAGGCAGCAGGCGCGCAAAUUACCCACUCUCGGCACGAGGAGGUAGUGACGAAAAAUAACGAGACGGUGAUCUCAUGAUUACCGUCAUUGGAAUGAGAACAAUCUAAACCCUUUAACGAGGACCUAGCGGAGGGCAAGUCUGGUGCCAGCAGCCGCGGUAAUUCCAGCUCCGCCAGUGUAUAUCUAUGCUGCUGCGGUUAAAAAGCUCGUAGUUGAAUCUGCGUGCCACGGGAAGGUCCACCUUAACGGUGCGUACUUUCGCCGGGCACUAAAUCGUUGGUUUUCUCUUGGUGCUCUUCAUCGAGUGUCUUGAGUGGCUAACAUGUUUACUUUGAAAAAAUUAGAGUGCUCAAAACAAGCGUUUCGCUUGAAUAUUCGUGCAUGGAAUAAUUGAAUAGGACCUCGGUUCUAUUUUGUUGGUUUUCGGAACUCGAGGUAAUGAUUAAGAGGGACAGACGGGGGCAUUCGUAUUACGGUGUUAGAGGUGAAAUUCUUGGAUCGCCGUAAGACGAACUACUGCGAAAGCAUUUGCCCAAGAAUGUUUUCAUUAGUCAAGAACGAAGUCAGAGGUUCGAAGACGAUCAGAUACCGUCGUAGUUCUGACCAUAAACGAUGCCCAACUAGCGAUCCGUAGGAGUUGUUCAAUGACUCGGCGGCAGCUUCGGAAUCAAAGUCUUUGGCUCGGGGGAGGUAUGCUGCAAGCUGAUCUAAUGACUGACGAAGACACCACAGAAUGAAGCUGCGCCUAGUUGACUUCAUCG
rnacentral:rRNA from 1 species